rnacentral:rRNA from 1 species
GACGAACGCUGGCGGCGUGCUUAACACAUGCAAGUCGAACGGUGAAAGCGGAGCUUGCUCCGCUGGAUCAGUGGCGAACGGGUGAGUAACACGUGGGCAACCUGCCCCUCACUUCGGGAUAACUCCGGGAAACCGGGGCUAAUACCGGAUAUGACCUCCUUGGGCAUCCUUGGAGGUGGAAAGUUUUUCGGUGAGGGAUGGGCCCGCGGCCUAUCAGCUUGUUGGUGAGGUGGCUCACCAAGGCGACGACGGGUAGCCGGCCCGAGAGGGCGACCGGCCACACUGGGACUGAGACACGGCCCAGACUCCUACGGGAGGCAGCAGUGGGGAAUAUUGCGCAAUGGGCGAAAGCCUGACGCAGCAACGCCGCGUGCGGGAUGACGGCCUUCGGGUUGUAAACCGCUUUCAGCAGGGAAGAAGCCGCAAGGUGACGGUACCUGCGGAAGAAGCACCGGCUAACUACGUGCCAGCCGCCGCAGUAA